CCUACGGGAGGCAGCAGUGGGGAAUUUUGGACAAUGGGCGAAAGCCUGAUCCAGCAAUGCCGCGUGAGUGAAGAAGGCCUUCGGGUUGUAAAGCUCUUUUGUCAGGGAAGAAACGGUGAAAGCUAAUAUCUUUUGCUAAUGACGGUACCUGAAGAAUAAGCACCGGCUAACUACGUGCCAGCAGCCGCGGUAAUACGUAGGGUGCAAGCGUUAAUCGGAAUUACUGGGCGUAAAGCGUGCGCAGGCGGUUUUGUAAGUCUGAUGUGAAAUCCCCGGGCUCAACCUGGGAAUUGCAUUGGAGACUGCAAGGCUAGAAUCUGGCAGAGGGGGGUAGAAUUCCACGUGUAGCAGUGAAAUGCGUAGAUAUGUGGAGGAACACCGAUGGCGAAGGCAGCCCCCUGGGUCAAGAUUGACGCUCAUGCACGAAAGCGUGGGGAGCAAACAGGAUUAGAUACCCUGGUAGUCCACGCCCUAAACGAUGUCUACUAGUUGUCGGGUCUUAAUUGACUUGGUAACGCAGCUAACGCGUGAAGUAGACCGCCUGGGGAGUACGGUCGCAAGAUUAAAACUUAAAGGAAAUUGACGG
rnacentral:rRNA from 1 species